UACGUAGGGUGCAAGCGUUGUCCGGAAUUAUUGGGCGUAAAGAGCUCGUAGGCGGUUUGUCGCGUCGGCUGUGAAAUCCCGAGGCUCAACCUCGGGUCUGCAGUCGAUACGAGCAAACUAGAGUGUUGCAGGGGAGACUGGAAUUCCUGGUGUAGCGGUGAAAUGCGCAGAUAUCAGGAGGAGGACCUGUGUCGAAGUCGAGUCUCUGGGCGAAAGCUGACGCUGAGGAGCGAAAGCGUGGGGAGCGAACAGG
rnacentral:rRNA from 1 species